rnacentral:rRNA from 1 species
GAUGAACGCUGGCGGCGUGCCUAAUACAUGCAAGUCGAGCGAACGGACGAGAAGCUUGCUUCUCUGAUGUUAGCGGCGGACGGGUGAGUAACACGUGGAUAACCUACCUAUAAGACUGGGAUAACUUCGGGAAACCGGAGCUAAUACCGGAUAAUAUUUUGAACCGCAUGGUUCAAAAGUGAAAGACGGUCUUGCUGUCACUUAUAGAUGGAUCCGCGCUGCAUUAGCUAGUUGGUAAGGUAACGGCUUACCAAGGCAACGAUGCAUAGCCGACCUGAGAGGGUGAUCGGCCACACCGGAACUGAGACACGGUCCAGACUCCUACGGGAGGCAGCAGUAGGGAAUCUUCCGCAAUGGGCGAAAGCCUGACGGAGCAACGCCGCGUGAGUGAUGAAGGUCUUCGGAUCGUAAAACUCUGUUAUUAGGGAAGAACAUAUGUGUAAGUAACUGUGCACAUCUUGACGGUACCUAAUCAGAAAGCCACGGCUAACUACGUGCCAGCAGCCGCGGUAAUACGUAGGUGGCAAGCGUUAUCCGGAAUUAUUGGGCGUAAAGCGCGCGUAGGCGGUUUUUUAAGUCUGAUGUGAAAGCCCGCGGCUCAACCGUGGAGGGUCAUUGGAAACUGGAAAACUUGAGUGCAGAAGAGGAAAGUGGAAUUCCAUGUGUAGCGGUGAAAUGCGCAGAGAUAUGGAGGAACACCAGUGGCGAAGGCGACUUUCUGGUCUGUAACUGACGCUGACGUGCGAAAGCGUGGGGAUCAAACAGGAUUAGAUACCCUGGUAGUCCACGCCGUAAACGAUGAGUGCUAAGUGUUAGGGGGUUUCCGCCCCUUAGUGCUGCAGCUAACGCAUUAAGCACUCCGCCUGGGGAGUACGACCGCAAGGUUGAAACUCAAAGGAAUUGACGGGGACCCGCACAAGCGGUGGAGCAUGUGGUUUAAUUCGAAGCAACGCGAAGAACCUUACCAAAUCUUGACAUCCUUUGACAACUCUAGAGAUAGAGCUUUCCCCUUCGGGGGACAAAGUGACAGGUGGUGCAUGGUUGUCGUCAGCUCGUGUCGUGAGAUGUUGGGUUAAGUCCCGCAACGAGCGCAACCCUUAAGCUUAGUUGCCAUCAUUAAGUUGGGCACUCUAAGUUGACUGCCGGUGACAAACCGGAGGAAGGUGGGGAUGACGUCAAAUCAUCAUGCCCCUUAUGAUUUGGGCUACACACGUGCUACAAUGGACAAUACAAAGGGCAGCGAAACCGCGAGGUCAAGCAAAUCCCAUAAAGUUGUUCUCAGUUCGGAUUGUAGUCUGCAACUCGACUAUAUGAAGCUGGAAUCGCUAGUAAUCGUAGAUCAGCAUGCUACGGUGAAUACGUUCCCGGGUCU